CCUAGCUUGCUAGGAGGGUCGAGCGGCGGACGGGUGAGUAAGGCAUAGGAAUCUGCCCGGUAGUGGGGGAUAACCUGGGGAAACCCAGGCUAAUACCGCAUACGUCCUACGGGAGAAAGCAGGGGAUCUUCGGACCUUGCGCUAUCGGAUGAGCCUAUGUCGGAUUAGCUGGUUGGUGAGGUAAUGGCUCACCAAGGCGACGAUCCGUAGCUGGUCUGAGAGGAUGAUCAGCCACAUCGGGACUGAGACACGGCCCGAACUCCUACGGGAGGCAGCAGUGGGGAAUAUUGGACAAUGGGCGCAAGCCUGAUCCAGCCAUGCC
rnacentral:rRNA from 1 species